GAUUGUUCAGUCGGUAGAGCAUGAGACUCUUAAUGUCAAGUUCCUGGGUUUGAGCCCCACAGAUUGCA